rnacentral:rRNA from 1 species
GAUGAACGCUGGCGGCGUGCCUAAUACAUGCAAGUCGAGCGAACGGACGAGAAGCUUGCUUCUCUGAUGUUAGCGGCGGACGGGUGAGUAACACGUGGAUAACCUACCUAUAAGACUGGGAUAACUUCGGGAAACCGGAGCUAAUACCGGAUAAUAUUUUGAACCGCAUGGUUCAAAAGUGAAAGACGGUCUUGCUGUCACUUAUAGAUGGAUCCGCGCUGCAUUAGCUAGUUGGUAAGGUAACGGCUUACCAAGGCAACGAUGCAUAGCCGACCUGAGAGGAUGAUCAGCCACACUGGAACUGAGACACGGUCCAGACUCCUACGGGAGGCAGCAGUAGGGAAUAUUCCGCAAUGGGCGAAAGCCUGACGGAGCAACGCCGCGUGAGUGAAGAAGGUCUUCGGAUCGUAAAACUCUGUUAUUAGGGAAGAACAGAUGUGUAAGUAACUGUGCACAUCUUGACGGUACCUAAACAGAAAGCAACGGCUAACUACGUG